rnacentral:misc_RNA from 1 species
AAAGUCGUAACAAGGUUUCCGUAGGUGAACCUGCGGAAGGAUCAUUACCGAGUUUAAAGAGAUGUAAAAAGUCUCUACUCCCAUCCUUGUUUAUUGUGAGCUGUAAAGCAGCUUCGGUGGGCCAUUUCUUCUUUAUUUGUUUGGAGAAGAGAUGUCGGCUCUUGAAACCAGCUGGCUUGUGCCUGCCGAAGUAACCAAUUCUGAAUAAUUAUAUAGUCUGAGAAAAUUAUAUAAAAAUAAUUAAAACUUUCAACAACGGAUCUCUUGGUUCUG